CUCUGUCAUCGGCCCAUUGCAAACACUCAGCAAAGAAUCCCUUGAUCCUCCAGUCGUUCCAAGUCGAAGCAUAAGGUUAUGGCCUGCAUAAAACUUCAUCCAUCUUGCACACGAGUGAGAAGUGAAGCCUAGAAAUCUCAGUUCCUCUCGUGUUACAGUGAAGCCACUCGUGGACUGGUUUUGGCCUGCAUUGCCAUUCAUUUAUCUUGCACACAAGUCAAAAAGUGAAGCCAAGAAAUCUUAAUUCCUCUUGCAUUACAGUGAAGCCAUUCCUAGAUUGGUUUUGGCCUACAUUGCCCUUCAUCCAUCUUGUACACAAGUUAGAAGUGAAGCUAAGACAUCUCAGUUUCUCUUGCAUUAGAGUGAAGUCACUCCUGAAACAGAGGUGGCCUCCAUCGAUGGGCCAGCGACGAAGUUGUCGCAGGAGGCCGAGGUCUUUGUGCGGAAGAGAAAGGCGGCGGCGUGGUGGAGGUCAAGCAUCUCGCCGCGGACCUUGUCGGGCUUUGCGUCUACGAGGGCCAGCUCGUCAGCUAGGUAGGUGAGGAUUUUCAGGCGAUGGCCAUGCCGACGACGCCGACCCCAACGACGGCCAUCUUGGCGUGUCGCUUGGACGGCGACGGCUGUGGGGUGUUUUGGAUCGGCUUGAAGAAGGCUUGGGUCAGGUCCAAUUCGCCGGGGCUGAGGUAGGAAGAAGAAAGAGGAUCGCAGAUGUGUGUUUAAAUUUGAGGGUUGGACAGCGAUCUUGGCGUGGCGCUUGGACGACGAUCUUUGUGCAUCUGCUGUUUUGAACUUGUCGAUCAACUAAUGGACUCGCUUUUUGCUGAUUGGGCACAAUAAGGGUACCCAAUAUUUUCUCCCUUACCUCGCCUCGAGCCACUCCUUCUCGUCCUCCUCCUCCGACGACUUUCAGUCGUCCACCCUCUGCGUCGCCUACGAGCUCGUCUACAAGGGCCAGCUCCUCCCCCUCCAGCACUGCCCCCCCGCCUCUCCGUGGUCCGUACCCUCCUCGCCUCCUCCUCCACCUCAGACUCCGCCACCACCUCCUCCCGCGACUCCUCCGGCAGCUCAACCACCUCCUCCGACCAGAUCUCGCGGAAGGAUGCCGACGACGGUCAUGGACAAGCGUCGGCGUCGCUCGCGAUCCGCUCAUCCAGAUCUGGGUCUGGAGAACUCCAGAUCUCGAGAUCAGCCCGUCACCGGGCUCGGCUGCUGGUUGGUGCGGCCGGGACGGGUGGCGAAGGUCUUCGACUUCUUCAUCUUCGGCGGCCUUUGAGACCCGGCUUCCUAAUUGCUUCGAAAUAUGAGAAAAUCUUUAUUCGCCCAUUGAUGGAGUUUCGAAAUAGGACGUUGAAUAAAGCAGAUGGGAGAGAAACCC